rnacentral:rRNA from 2 species
UAACACAUGCAAGUCGAACGAAGUAGCAAUACUUAGUGGCAGACGGGUGAGUAACAUGUGGGUAUCUACCCUUUGGCCUGGAAUAACACGAGGAAACUUGUGCUAAUACCGGAUAAGUCUUUACGGAGAAAGCUUUAUGCACCAUUGGAUGAGCCCGCACUUGAUUAGUUUGUUGGUAGGGUAAUGGCCUACCAAGACUAUGAUCAAUAGCUGAUUUGAGAGGAUGAUCAGCCACAUUGGGACUGAGACACGGCCCAAACUCC